rnacentral:rRNA from 1 species
AAUACCGCGGCCCUUUAAAAUUUAUCAGUGGGCAGAUUAGACUUUAAAUUAUAUUCAAAAAGACAUGUUUUUGUUAAACAGGCGAGUAUUUAUUUGCCAAGUUCCUUAAUUUAACCUUUCAAUUUAUUUAUUUUAAACAAUUAAAAUAUACUAAUUUUAUCAUUAUUUUAAUUCUUAUAUAAUUUUAAAAAUUAUUUUAAUAAAAACUUAAAUCAAUAAAAAUUAUUUUUAAUUUAAAAUAAAUUAUAACAUUUUUAUAAUUAAUGACUAUUUCUAAAUCUAUAAUUUUUAAAUUAAAAAAUUAUUAUAAAACUUAUUUUAAAGCUUAUCCCUUAAAAUAUUAAUUAUUAAUAAUAACUUAUUAUUUAAAUAAAUAAUUAUUUACUAAUAAUCUAAAUUUAAUUUAUUUCUUAAAAAACUAGAUAUAUUCAAGAACGAAUAACAUUUCAUUUCUAAUUUAUUAUUUUAAAUUUUUAUGAAACAAAAAAUUAAUUAAUAAAUUAACUCUCUUAAAUUCGAGAAAAAUUAAAUUUUUAACUUUUAAUUAAUAAACCCUGAUACACAAGGUACAACAUAUAAAAUUUACUUUUAAUUUAAAACUUUUUCAUGUAUUUCAAUAUUCUUUUACAAUACUAAUUAACUAUUAUAUAAAUUAUUUGAUCUAUAUAUUAUACAAAAAAAACUUAACUUAAAAUUAAUUUUAUUAAAUAAAUUUUUAAAUAAAAAAAAUUAAUAAAUUUUUAUUAUCAAAUUAAAUUGAAUCACACAAUAUACUUUUCAAUGUAAAUGAAAUGCUUCUUUUCAAGCUCUAAUCUGUCUUUCUAGAUACACCUUC